UACGAAGGGGGCUAGCGUUGUUCGGAAUUACUGGGCGUAAAGCGCACGUAGGCGGACAUUUAAGUCAGGGGUGAAAUCCCGGGGCUCAACCUCGGAACUGCCUUUGAUACUGGGUGUCUUGAGUGUGGAAGAGGUCAGUGGAAUUGCGAGUGUAGAGGUGAAAUUCGUAGAUAUUCGCAGGAACACCAGUGGCGAAGGCGGCUGACUGGUCCACAACUGACGCUGAGGUGCGAAAGCGUGGGAGCAAACAGG
rnacentral:rRNA from 1 species